rnacentral:tRNA from 1 species
CGUCUGCCUGGACUGCCGGGAGAUCACCUCCCGCGAGGAGCUGGACGCGCGGCUGCGCGCGGCCAACCCGGGGUUCGACGCCCGGGCCAUCGC